rnacentral:rRNA from 1 species
GGCUGUGGACAUUCGACCUAGACAAUACCUAGAGAUAGGACGUCCCCUUCGGGGGCAGAGAGACAGGUGGUGCAUGGUUGUCGUCAGCUCGUGUCGUGAGAUGUUGGGUUAAGUCCCGCAACGAGCGCAACCCUUGAUCUUAGUUGCCAGCAUUCAGUUGGGCACUCUAAGGUGACUGCCGGUGACAAACCGGAGGAAGGUGGGGAUGACGUCAAAUCAUCAUGCCCCUUAUGACCUGGGCUACACACGUGCUACAAUGGACAGAACAAAGGGCAGCGAAACCGCGAGGUUAAGCCAAUCCCACAAAUCUGUUCUCAGUUCGGAUCGCAGUCUGCAACUCGACUGCGUGAAGCUGGAAUCGCUAGUAAUCGCGGAUCAGCAUGCCGCGGUGAAUACGUUCCCGGGUCUUGUACACACCGAGGG